ACGGGUGAGUAACGCGUGAACAACCUGCCUUCCUGAGGGGGAUAACACCUGGAAACAAGUGCUAAUACCGCAUAAGACCACAGAGCCGCAUGGCCCAGGGGUCAAAGGAGCAAUCCGCAGGGAGAGGGGUUCGCGUCCCAUUAGCUAGUUGGCGGGGCAACGGCCCACCAAGGCGACGAUGGGUAGCCGAGCUGAGAGGCUGAUCUGCCACACUGGAACUGAGACACGGUCCAGACUCCUACGGGAGGCAGCAGUGGGGAAUAUUGGGCAAUGGGCGCAAGCCUGACCCAGCAACGCCGCGUGAGGGAAGAAGGUCUUCGGAUUGUAAACCUCUGUCCUAUGUGACGAAGGAAGUGACGGUAGCAUAGGAGGAAGCCCCGGCUAACUACGUGCCAGCAGCCGCGGUAAUACGUAGGGGGCGAGCGUUGUCCGGAAUUACUGGGCGUAAAGGGUGCGUAGGUGGCACUUUAAGUUGGAUGUGAAAUCCCCGUGCUUAACAUGGGAGCUGCAUCCAAUACUGGAGAGCUAGAGUGCAGGAGAGGUAAGCGGAAUUCCUAGUGUAGCGGUGAAAUGCGUAGAUAUUAGGAGGAACACCAGUGGCGAAGGCGGCUUACUGGACUGUAACUGACACUGAGGCACGAAAGCGUGGGGAGCAAACAGGAUUAGAUACCCUGGUAGUCCACGCCGUAAACGAUGAGUGCUAGGUGUUGGGGGGGAACCCUCGGUGCCGCAGCUAACGCAAUAAGCACUCCACCUGGGGAGUACGGCCGCAAGGUUGAAACUCAAAUGAAUUGACGG
rnacentral:rRNA from 1 species